UUUCUCUCUGAGGACGAGAACUCUGGGAAAUGAGCUGAUCCAGGUGGACUCUUGGAAACCCCAGGUCUGCCAGCAAGAAAAGAGGCAGGAGUCCAUGAGUCAGACUAGCCCCAUGGCAUCCUUGGAGCCACGACCUGAAGAGAGACAAGCCACAAAGUAGAAGGAGCUACAUUUGCAGCACCACUGGAGAACAAUCACCUCCAAGGGAUUUGGAGAGAAGUCUUUUCUAAUACCCACUUUUAAGUCCCA